rnacentral:tRNA from 1 species
GAACCGUUAGCUCAGUUGGUAGAGCGUCGGUCUCUUAAACCGAAUGUCGAAGGUUCAAGCCCUUCACGGUUCACCU